rnacentral:rRNA from 1 species
UAGACUUCAAAUCAGGUGGGACUACCCGCUGAACUUAAGCAUAUCAAUAAGCGGAGGAAAAGAAAAUAACUAUGAUUCCCUUAGUAACGGCGAGUGAACAGGGAGAAGCCCAAAUUUGUAAUCUGGCACUUUUUACGAGUGUCCGAGUUGUAAUUUGUAGAACUGUUAUCCGUGCUGGACCAUGUACAAGUCUGUUGAAAAGCAGCAUCAUUGAAGGUGAAAAUCCUGUAGAUGAUAUGGACUACCAGUACUUUUGUGAUACGGUUUCUAAGAGUCGAGUUGUUUGGGAAUGCAGCUCAAAGUGG